GAGGGUAUAGCUCAGUGGUAGAGCACAUGCUUAGCAUGCAGGAGGUCCUGGGUUCAAUUCUCAGUACUGCCA
rnacentral:tRNA from 1 species